rnacentral:sRNA from 1 species
ACGAAAGAGAAACCCGGAGGGCGCCGGGGACGGGGCCGGGGUCUGCAGGGCUCAGCUGAGCUCAUGAGCUCCCAGAGCUAACCCCUGACCACCCAGGCAGGCAAAGGGCUGAUGUCGGUAGCCCCCAUCCUGGAGGGGCAGGCUCUGCGCAUCUGCUCCUGGCAUGGCGCUGCGGCACCUCGCCCUCCUGGCUGGCCUUCUCGUGGGAGUCGCCAGCAAGUCCAUGGAGAACAUGGUAGGUGCCCCCGUCACGUGUCCAGGCGGCCUAAGCCAGAGCCUCUGUGGAGGGCGGUGGGCCCUUCCCCUAGAGGGUCUAACCCUUCGACCUUUAGGACACUGAUGUCCCAGCCCCAGAGGUGCUGACCAGGUCCACUGUUGGGGUCAGAGGGGCCUGUGCCUCACAGAGGGGAGCCCUCUGCUGCCUGCCGGGUGAGCACCUGCUCAGGAAUGGCUGGGACAGGUGGGGCCCCCACAGUGAGGCAUCCGGCCCGCAAUGGGAGUAGCUCUGCCAGCGGUGACAGCACAGCACGCUGCGCGUUGCUAUCGGGGAGUGUAGCUGCGGCGGCUCCAGACUCCCAGGCGGAGCAGGUGGAGGGUGGGGACCCCUCACUAGCCUGCCUGGGGCGUUUGAGGGACUGGACCUGGGCCCCUCCCUGGCGG